UGUAUUCCACAGACCUGUGUCUUUCUUUAAGACUUUUUUUCACCCGUGGUGGGUGAGGCUUAUAAAAUGUAGACCCUUCGCUAUUCCUCGAUCCGUACCAAUUCCAUUAUAACACAAACUCCAAAUCAAAUCUCCUUCUAUCUUUUUUAUUUUUAUUUUGCAUUUUUAGUUACAGUAUCCCUCUAUCUUUGUCUCUUUGGAAAAACACCUAUUAAGCUAAGAUGUCUGAUGAUCAGAGAUCCUCACUUUCCGGCAACGGCCAAACUGUGUGUGUUACUGGGGCCGGAGGCUUCAUCGCUUCUUGGAUUGUUGGUGCGGCGCUGUAGCUGUGUUGAUGUCCUCUCCAAUUGGUCGUGGUCUUGUGCUCUUUAAAGGAAGGGUUGGAUGAUUGGAUCACGGUGCUAUAUGUGAAGGGAUAAGGUUCUUGGUGACGUGUCACUAUGUGGUCGGAGAGAAUGAAUAAAUGAAGACCAGAAAGCUAGCUUUGUGGCACGGCUACAGUGAAGAAAAGGAAAGGUAGCACGUGCAUGUUUAAUUAACUAAGCAAAGUUAGUUAAUUAAUAAAUGCUGCAACCAUUCUUUAAUUGAUUAGGUUAAUUAAGCAAUUAAUCGCUUAAUUAAUUAACCUAUUUAAUUAAGAGGCAUUUUACAAUUCUUCCAUUUCUUCUCACUCGUCUCCAUGCAUUUACGCACGGAUUAUUGGAAGCAAUUGGAUCCCACUCUUUCGAUGACAUUGACUACGGUUGACCAAUCUUUACUAUUUCGUCCUUUUGUCGGAAACUCCAAAUUGCUCCAUUUUUGCAUCUAUUUCAUUCGAUUUCCGUGACUCCGUUUAUUUCUACAACAUAAAUAAAAAUUGAUUAAUUACAUAAUAAUUGACUUGAGAAUUAGCUUAAUUAUAGUAUUUAGAGUGCAAUUACGCGCAUAAAAAAGCGUGUAAUCAAUUGUCAAGCUUCUUCUGGAGAGAGGCUAUAAUGUGAGAGGACCUUGAGAAACUCAGAUGACCCAAAGAAUGUUCAUUUGAGAGAGUUGGAAAGAGCCAAAGAGCGGCUGAGCUUGCGAAAAGCUGAUGUUCUCGAUUUAGAGAGCCUUAAAGAUGCCAUUGCCGGCUGCAAUGGCGUUUUCCACACAGCAUCCCCUGUAACUGAUGAUCCAGUGACUG